GCGGCCGCCAGCGUCCUCACCACCAGCGUGAGUUGGGACUAGGGGUUGGGUCUGGGUCCAGACCCGGCCCAGCCAUCACACACCUGCCCUCCCUCAGAUGGUCACCAUGGAGCCCGGGUACCUGUUCCUGGGUUCUCGCCUGGGCAAUUCCCUCCUCCUCAAGUACACGGAGAAGCUGCAGGAGCCCCCGGCCAGUGCUGUCCGUGAGGCUGCCGACAAGGUGGGUUUCCUGGGCCCAUUGGGCCACCACCCUUCAUGUGGGCACUGCUGUGGCAUGCCACUCAGUGCCCCUCCUGCCUCACAGGAAGAGCCUCCCUCAAAGAAGAAGCGAGUGGAUGCGACGGCCGGCUGGUCAGCUGCGGGUAAGUCGGUGCCGCAGGAUGAGGUGGACGAGAUUGAAGUGUACGGCAGCGAGGCCCAGUCGGGAACACAGCUGGCCACCUACUCCUUUGAGGUGAGAUUGAGGCAGCAGGGCCCCCGUCCCAGCCAGCGCCCCCAGCGGGCCCCUGA
rnacentral:lncRNA from 1 species